rnacentral:misc_RNA from 1 species
GAUGAAGAACGUAGCGAAAUGCGAUAAGUAAUGUGAAUUGCAGAAUUCAGUGAAUCAUCGAAUCUUUGAACGCACAUUGCGCCCGCCAGUAUUCUGGCGGGCAUGCCUGUUCGAGCGUCACUUUCACCAUCAAGCUCUGCUUGUGUUGGGGUCCUGCGGCUGCCCGCAGGCCCUGAAACCCAGUGGCGGGCUCGCUAGUCACACCGAGCGCAGUAGCACAUCUCGCUCAGGGCGUGCGGCGGGUUCUUGCCGUAAAACAACCCCCCCUUUUCACCAAGGUUGACCUCGGAUCAGGUAGGAAUACCCGCUGAACUUAAGCAUAUCAAUAAGCGGAGGA